rnacentral:rRNA from 1 species
UAUUUUAAAGAGAGUUUGAUCCUGGCUCAGGACGAACGCUGGCGGCGUGCCUAAUACAUGCAAGUCGAACGAACGGAGGAAGAGCUUGCUCUUCCAAUGUUAGUGGCGGACGGGUGAGUAACACGUGGGCAACCUGCCUGUAAGUUGGGGAUAACUCCGGGAAACCGGGGCUAAUACCGAAUGAUAA